GAUGAACGCUGGCGGCGUGCUUAACACAUGCAAGUCGAACGGGAAACCUUUUAUUGAAGCUUCGGCAGAUUUAGCUGGUUUCUAGUGGCGGACGGGUGAGUAACGCGUGGGUAACCUGCCUUAUACAGGGGGAUAACAGUCAGAAAUGGCUGCUAAUACCGCAUAAGCGCACAGAGCUGCAUGGCUCAGUGUGAAAAACUCCGGUGGUAUAAGAUGGACCCGCGUUGGAUUAGCUGGUUGGUGGGGUAACGGCCCACCAAGGCGACGAUCCAUAGCCGGCCUGAGAGGGUGAACGGCCACAUUGGGACUGAGACACGGCCCAGACUCCUACGGGAGGCAGCAGUGGGGAAUAUUACACAAUAGGGGAAACCCUGAUGCAGCGACGCCGCGUGAAGGAAGAAGUAUCUCGGUAUGUAAACUUCUAUCAGCAGGGAAGAUAAUGACGGUACCUGACUAAGAAGCCCCGGCUAACUACGUG
rnacentral:rRNA from 1 species